AAAGACCUGCCAAAGGGCAACGGUCUCGAAUGAUAUCACUUCAGCAUGCUUACAUGUUGGUCGAGCAUUGCAUCUUUAUGUGAUAAUUUUUUAAUGGCUUUACGGCCAUUAAUAUUACACUAAUUUGUAAUGAUAAUUUGGCUAUGGAGAUAUGCACUUCUUCUCUAGUAGGACGUUGCAACUCAUUGGAUGUUAAUCUAAGAACCCUAAGGUUAGCCUAUUUUAUAUAUAUUUCGGUAUAUGUGAUUUAGACCUAGGUGCUUUUCCCGAUUAACUUGUUCGAUGGUAUAUCAUAAUAUUGGGCCGCCUAUAUGGCAUUCAAGCUAUUUUCAAGUGUGUACGGACCAAAUUUUGGCUAUCAGACCUAGUGCUGUUACUGAAACCGUUAUACUGCUGGAUUAUAGUAUAUUGAAUAGACCUUUUAUAUUGGUUAGCAACGCUUUAGCUUUGGGUACUUUCAGGAC
rnacentral:rRNA from 1 species